CGUAAAGCCAGUUUAGUAGCCGAAAGGUACCAAGAUGGCGGAGGCCGAUUUUGUGGCGAUACGAACGGUUUUGGACGUCCAAACGAGUGUUUGAAGCGUCGAUGGGGCCUCUUUUAGCGUCGAGCGUCCGUAUGUGGCGUCAGCUCAGGACCAGGGAUUUUUUUCGUUGCUGCGGUACCGGAUUGAUGCUGUGAAGUGACGACAUCAAACCGUUUAUUUUUUGGUCCUAUUUUAAAAUAAAAUAUAUGUAUUAAUUUAUAAUACCUCAUGGCUGUGUUUUGUUUAAGAGA